AUAAUAACAAUCAAAAUAUAUAACAUAUCGACAUGCUUUGACCAUGUGCAUACAUAAACACAUACACAUAUACUAAAGAAAUUAAAAAAGGAAAAUUAAAAGAGAAAAUGAAUGAAUGAAUGAAUGUUUGGGGUGCAUUUUAAUUAUAUAUACUCAAAUUGCAUACGCAUACUCAUAAUAUAAUAUUUAAUUCUUCACAGAUGUUGAAUGAUAACUGCUUUUCACGUCCAGAGAAGGGCUUUUAUUUUGACACUUCGGAUGGCGCGUGUAUCAGAAUGUCCGUGGUUUCCGGGUAGGCCGCUCCUGAAAAAGUUUUGAACAGAAAUGAUUUUUAAUUUCUGAGAAAAGAAACUGAAACAGAUCUGAUCGAUCACAGCAGCGCGCAGAUGUCCGAGCAGGGAUCAUUUUGGGUACAGUACUGGCUGACAGUGGCGGUAAAGGAUAAAGACUGGAACCGGAGGAGACUGUAACGAGACACGCGCCGACGGGUCUCCCAGCGGACAGACGUGUGGACCAGUGUAAAUGUUUGCGGGACGGUUUUAGAGAAAGUCUAUUUUAUUAUUCUUUGCUUUCCAUGAAGCGCACUGUAUCACCAUUAUUACUGUGUUCAUUGUGAUGUCUUUAACUGGAAAAGCAUGAUUCAAAGUCAAAUAUAUUUUACAGGAUAAUCAUGGUGCACUUUUAUUUUGGAUUAAGAAUCACAAGACUGAAGUGUGUCUGCAUGGCUGCUAACAGAUCGCAUAAAAAAGAGUACAUGCACUUUACAAAAUGCGUCAUACAGUGUCAGAAACUUAUAGCCUAUUAGAGAUUACUUAAAGGGAAA